GGGAGUCGUUGCUCGCCAUAGAUGUAGCUUGUGACAAAGUGGCUGGACCCAGGCAGGAUUUUAUUGUUUGAUGAAGAUUCAUUGCCCUUGAUUCUUCUCCUUGGGCUUGUACUUAAUGAUGGUGAGAGAUGAGGAGGAUGAAGGGGAGGUGCAUACUCUUUUUCCUGAAUGACAAAGCUGGGAGCUGGCGAUGGCUUUGGGAAUAUGGGAAGUCAGUUUUCAGAAAGACAGAUAUGAAUCCAGGAAGCUGAAAGGGAACUCUUUCAGGCCAGGAUGGAGGAUACUCCCAGCAUCCCCUAUGGUCAGAUGCAUGGGUCCUUGGAGCACUCAGGGACCAGCCUUUCCAGUGUGUCCUGAAACCAGAAGCCCCAUGACACUGGCUCCUCUUUCACUGCUCUGGGAUUUCGGCUCUGGCCAAGGCAGGAACACCCAUGCUGCAGAGAAGCCUGAGAAGCCACAGCUAAGUGAGGCCAGUCCUGGAUCUCUGUGGGCCUCAAUCUCCUCACCUGAAACCUGGUGCAGGCAGGACCACCCCUUCGCUCCGUUGUCAAGGUCCAGAUGUCCCUGGUGUCCAACAGGGCUUGACUACAGCAGGCACUUAAUAUGUGCUAACUCCGUGCAUCCCCCCUCCUUUUUCCUAAGUGGAUUAUGCAUCUGCUCCUCAGGACUGAUCUUCAACCUGUCAGCUACUCCCCAGCAUCAUCCAAACUGCUCUGAAAACCACCUUUCCAAAAUGCAGAGCCAGCAGUGUCACUGCCCCACUCAAAAUGCUCUCAACAGCUCCCCACUGCCU
rnacentral:misc_RNA from 1 species